rnacentral:rRNA from 1 species
UACGAGAGGCCCAAACGUUAUUCGGAUUUACUGGGCUUAAAGAGUUCGUAGGCGGCGCGGAAAGUAGGGUGUGAAAGCCCUCGGCUCAACCGAGGAAUUGCGCUCUAAACUGUCGCGCUCGAGGAACCUAGAGGUGAGCAGAACUGAUGGUGGAGCGGUGAAAUGCGUUGAUAUCAUCAGGAAUACCGGAGGCGAAGGCGGCGCUCUGGAACAUUUCUGACGCUGAGGCUCGAAAGCGUGGGGAGCAAACAGG